rnacentral:rRNA from 1 species
GCGAAAAGCGUUGGGGAGCUGGCAAACGAGCAUUGAUCCAACGAUGUCCGAAUGGGGAAACCCACCUGGUACAAGCCAGGUAUCUUGCACUGAAUACAUAGGUGUAAGAGGCGAACCCGGGGAACUGAAACAUCUAAGUACCCGGAGGAAAGGAAAUCAAUUGAUACUCCCCUAGUAGCGGCGAGCGAACGGGGACCAGCCGAGCCAUGAUUGUGGUUAGAAUGCGUUGGAAUGCGCAACCAGAGUGGGUGAUAGUCCCGUAUAAGAAGCAUGAUUGGACGUAUUAAGUAGGGCGGAACACGUGAAAUUCUGUCUGAAGAUCGGAGGACCACCUUCGAAGGCUAAGUACUCCUUACUGACCGAUAGUGAACCAGUACCGUGAGGGAAAGGUGAAAAGAACCCCGAACAGGGGAGUGAAACAGACCCUGAAACCAUACGCCUACAAGCGGUCGGAGCCAAUUUAUUGGUGACGGCGUGCCUUUUGCAUAAUGAGCCUACGAGUUACUUUUACCGGCAAGGUUAAGCACUUCAGGUGCGCAGCCGUAGCGAAAGCGAGUCUGAACAGGGCGUUCAGUUCGUGGGAUCAGACCCGAAACCGGGUGAUCUAGCCAUGGGCAGGCUGAAGGCG